UGACGAGCGGCGGACGCGCGUGUCACAGUCUGACUCUGAAGACCCGCUCAUUGGGCGCCACUGAUGAUAUCACACCACUUGUGCGAUCAGUUUACUCUCUAUCUCAUGAUGAAAAUGAGGUCAAAGCCCGGUCUUCAAGUCCACACGGAGGUCAUUGUCUGGCUUCUCCACACACCCGCUGGCAGUUGAAGAUUGUCAGGCCUGGGACGAAUGUCCUUCGAGAGCAAGUCAAGGGUGGGAUCUGUGGCCUGGUGGUCUGCGAGUCCAACAGGGCCGGAUUAGCAGGGUUGAAGCCUAACUCGCCAUCAGGAGCACCAGAACUGGAUAUUAAGUUCUAGUAUUUACUGGAGCGCAUGAGAAACAAACACCAAAAGUCAAGAGAUGAAUCUGCUGUGUCUAAUCAAAGCGUACAUACAUCCAGCAGUUGCAGUGUGAGAACAGCUGGACUGGUGUAGAUGCGUUUGCCUCUCUAUAGAAGUGAUAACCAGAUUGAAUAGCUUCAGCCAUGUAAACUGUUGAUUUUGACAGCAAAUUUGAACAAAAAUGUCAUUUAGUUUAGUAAUGUUUUAGUCAUCUGAAUUGUUUUAAGUUUUAGUUGACUAAAUACAAUAUUUUAGUCCACUAAAUCUACAGUAGAAUAAUUGUUGUGGACACUCUUCGUAUGUUGAAGAUUUGAUUUGUUUUUAAAGGGAUACUUCACCUCUAGAAAGAUGAAU